CUACGUAGGGGGCGAGCGUUGUCCGGAAUGAUUGGGCGUAAAGGGCGCGUAGGCGGCCCGGUAAGUCUGGAGUGAAAGUCCUGUUUUUAAGAUGGGAAUUGCUUUGGAUACUGUCGGGCUUGAGUGCAGGAGAGGUAAGUGGAAUUCCCAGUGUAGCGGUGAAAUGCGUAGAGAUUGGGAGGAACACCAGUGACGAAGGCGACUUACUGGACUGUAACUGACGCUGAGGCGCGAAAGUGUGGGGAGCAAACAGGAUUAGAUACCCUGGUAGUCCACACUGUAAACGAUGAAUGCUAGGUGUAGGGGGUAUCGACCCCUUCUGUGCCGCAGUCAACACAAUAAGCAUUCCGCCUGGGGAGUACGGCCGCAAGGUUGAAACUCAAAUGAAUUGGCGGGG
rnacentral:rRNA from 1 species